GGUGGCUCAAUGGUAGAGUGCUUGCCUUGCAUGCAUAAGGCCCUGGGUUCGAUUCCUCAGCACCA
rfam:Dipodomys ordii contig_66975, whole genome shotgun sequence.